rnacentral:lncRNA from 1 species
CACAGAGUAGAUAAGACAUACAGAGACGUAACUGACCGUUGUAAACACUGCGGAAGAUUACGUUAUCAUGUACCCACCUUUUUUCAGGCGACCGGCCGAAAAAUGAUCAACUACGCGUGCUCAGCAAGUUUAAAGUGAGUCGUCAUCAGGUCGUCAUCCAAUCAGAUGCAUGCAUCUAGUAACUUGCCGAGCAUGCGCAAAAAAAAAGUGGGUACACUAGUUACGUCUCUG